rnacentral:rRNA from 1 species
UGCAUGUCUCAGUGCAGGCCUUCAUACGGUGAAACCGCGAAUGGCUCAUUAAAUCAGCUAUGGUUUAUUGGAUCAUACCCGUUAAAUGGAUAACUGUAAUAACUCUAGAGCUAAUACAUGCCUCAAUGCCCUGACCCCGCUUGCUAACUUAGCUGGUGGGGAAUGGGUGCAAUUAUUAGAUCAGAAGCCAACCGAUUGCGCGCGUGCGGCUGUUGUAUAAGCAGUUGCUGCGUGCUUUGAAACACUUCUGGUGACUCUGGAUAAUUGUUACAGAUCGCAGUCGGCCUUGAGUCGGCGACGGGUCCUUCAAAUGUCUGCCCUAUCAACUUUCGAUGGUAGGUGACCUGCCUACCAUGGUUCUUACGGGUAACGGGGAAUCAGGGUUCGAUUCCGGAGAGGGAGCCUGAGAAACGGCUACCACUUCCAAGGGAGGCAGCAGGCGCGCAAAUUACCCAAUCCCAGUACGGGGAGGUGGUGACGAAAAAUACCGAUGCGGGACUCCUUCAAGAGGCUCCGUAAUCGGAAUGAGUGGACUCUAAAUCCUUUCACGAGGAUCAAUUGGAGGGCAAGUCUGGUGCCAGCAGCCGCGGUAACUCCAGCUCCAAUAGCGUAUAUUAAAGUUGCUGCAGUUAAAAAGCUCGUAGUUGGAUCUCGGUAGCAUUGUUGCCUGUCGGUAUUUGGGCGGCUGGUGUGUGGCUGACGAUGCGCGGUCCCCAUAUCUGUGUGUUGGUGCUGUGCGAGUUGGUAGGCUGGGAUGUUGGUGGCGUGGCGGUACUGUUGGUUGGUGGUUAGCAGUCGUGCGCACCUUGUGGUGUGCGUGGCUGUUCGACCUAGGCUGGCUACAGUUGCUGCAUCGUUUGCCUAUGCAUCCAUUCGUUUGCUCGCUCGUUCGCCCACUGCAGUGUUGAGGUCGUGUUGUUGUGGUCAUUUAUUAGCACUGUCGUGUCAAGCUGACAAGGUGACGAUGUCGCCUUUAAGCCAUAUCUGGGGUGUCAAAGCCACAGGUGUAGAUGGGUAUUGGGUGGUGCUCUGCACUCGUUGUGGAGCCCAUCGGCCCGUUUGCAUGCCUUUGGAUGCCCUUUGAAAGGUGUCCACAGGCGGAUGGCACGUUUACUUUGAACAAAUUUGAGUGCUCAAAUCAGGCCGAUGUUGCCUGAAAAGUUUUGCAUGGAAUAAGGAAUAGGACUUCGGUUCUAUUUCGUUGGUUUUCGGAUCCGAAGUAAUGAUCAAGAGAAACAGGCGGGGGCGUUUGUAUGGCUGCGCUAGAGGUGAAAUUCAUGGACCGUAGCCAGACAAACUAAAGCGAAAGCAUACGUCAAGCAUGUUUUCAUUGGCCAUGAGCGAAAGUCAGAGGCUCGAAGACGAUCAGAUACCGUCCUAGUUCUGACCAUAAACGAUGCCAACUGACGAUCCGUGGUGGUAGUUAAUAAACCUUCCCCCACGGGCAGUCUCCGGGAAACCUUUAAGUGUAUGGGUUCCGGGGGAAGUAUGGUUGCAAAGCUGAAACUUAAAGGAAUUGACGGAAGGGCACCACCAGGAGUGGAGCCUGCGGCUUAAUUUGACUCAACACGGGAAAACUCACCCGGGCCGGACACUAUGAGGAUUGACAGAUUGAUAGCUCUUUCUUGAUUUGGUGGUUGGUGGUGCAUGGCCGUUCUUAGUUGGUGGAGCGAUUUGUCUGGUUAAUUUCGAUAACGAACGAGACUCCAGCCUGCUAAUUAGUGCGUUCGUCCACUGCGCUCGUGGUGACGGCGUCUGGCAAGGCUGCUUCCGCGGGUAGUUGGUUCUUGGUGCCUGUUGCGCCUUGACUGGGAUGGGAUGCAACACGCAUGCUGGGUGGGUGAGGUGGAUUGACCGAUGGACACUCUCUGUUUGUCUUUCUGCCUUCUUGCCUGGCUGUGGGUGCGCUCGCUUGGUCUCUUAGACGUGGUUGGUGUCGAAGCCUAACAAUCUGCCUGCAGAUGGUUGGCCGGUCUAGUGUUAGUCUCCGAGUGCGGCGCGAACGCUUACUUCUUAGAGGGACAAGCGGCAGAGACCGCACGAAAUAGAGCAAUAACAGGUCUGUGAUGCCCUUAGAUGUCCGGGGCCGCACGCGCGCUACAAUGGCGGUGUCAACGAGUCAGACCUUCUGGCCCGAGAGGGUUGGGUAAACUGGUCAAUCACCGUCAUGACAGGGAUCGGGGCUUGGAAUUGUUCCCCGUGAACGAGGAAUUCCUAGUAAGUGCAAGUCAUAAGCUUGCGCUGAUUACGUCCCUGCCCUUUGUACACACCGCCCGUCGCUACUACCGAUUGAAUGGUUUAGUAAGGUCCUUGGAUUGGAGCUAUUGUGGUGGCCGCCGAAACGUGGCUACCCGACAGGCG